GCGGGCGUAGCUCAGUUGGUAGAGCGUGACGUUCCCAACGUCAAUGUCGAGGGUUCGAACCCCUUCGCCCGCU
rnacentral:tRNA from 2 species